rnacentral:rRNA from 1 species
CCUACGGGGGGCAGCAGUGAGGAAUCUUGGUCAAUGGACGGAAGUCUGAACCAGCCAUGCCGCGUGCAGGAAGACGGCUCUAUGAGUUGUAAACUGCUUUUGUACAAGGGUAAACUUGAAUACGUGUAUUCAGCUGAUAUUACUGUACGUAUUAGGAUCGGCUAACUCCGUGCCAUCAGCUGCGGUAAUACGGAGGAUCCAAUCGGUAUCCGGAUUUAUUGGGUUUAACGGGUGCGUAGGCGGAUUUAUAAGUUAGAGGUGAAAUUUCCGAGCUUAACUCGGGAACUGCCUCUAAUACUGUUGAUCUAGAGAGUAGAUGCGGUAGGCGGAAUGUAAGGUGUAGCGGUGAAAUGCUUAGAGA